CUCCCUGUGGAAUCUGCUUCUAGAAACGGCCUGACAUUUCUUGCUUGUUUAUCUGUGUUGUCUCACUAAGAUGUCCCCUCUGUGAGAGGGGGACUCUGUCUACUUUAUUCCACUGGGUCCCGGCCCCAAGGUCUGCCAGCCACACAGUAGCUCUCACAUCCGUGUUAAAUGAAUAUGACAAGCUGUGUGACCUUGGACGAGUUACUUGACCAUGCUGAGCCUCUGUUCCUUCAUCUAUAAAAUGAGGAAACCAGCUUUUAAAAAAAAAAAUUUAUUUUAUUUUAUUUUUUCAGUGUUCCAAAAUUCAUCGUUAACGACCAACUUCUUAAUAAGAUUCCCCGCGGGCCUGAGUCGCCAUAGCUAGGAGAUGGUAAGGACUGCACUGCCCCACAGAUGUGGAAAUGGACAAGAGCAUGCGCACAGAUUUCCGCCGCUCUCCCCGCACACCCCACACACACUCAAAAGUCCCGUAUAAUGAAGGCUCCCCCCGGGACCUCCCAUGAAACAGGUGUACUGGCAGCUUCCCCUAGGAACCCAGACAUUGGCAAGUGGGUGUAUGCUGCUUGCCUCGUCUCAGCCAAAGCCCGGAGGGAGGCGAUCUGCUGGGCUCCUCGACGUUUCUUCCAACAAGGGCAUCUUUCAUGAUUUUUCCUUCUGGGCCCCCUAUUUUGAAACCAAACAAGGACGCAGAUCACUGCCAAUCCAGACAGGCUCGGCAUGAGCACGCGCUUUGUUCCCACACAGAGGUGAUGUCAGCCCCGAGCAAAGACAGGCACUUGACAUUUCCACGAGCCUGGGCAGCCUCCCCCAGGACAUACACAGUGUCUGGCAGCCGGCUUUGAGGAAUUAUGGACACUAGUUUGCAGAUGCCGGCCCUGCCUUCGAGACCCCCAGAGAGGUCAGAGGACCCCACGCUGUGCGGAUCGGUUGUUUGGUCCAGCACCUGCUUUUGCUCUCCCAGGUCAUGCAGUGGGCUGGUGCAGGGACGCGGUGAGGCCUGGACCUCCACCGCUUUCUCAAGGCCAGAGCCGCAGACGGUCUCCACACCUUCCAUAAUCAAGUUCCUAUGCUUGUAACCUCAGCAAAGCCAUCCCAUGGGCCAGACGGGACUGAGCUUGAACCUUCCACAGCUCCAGUCUCCUGCUUCCUGGCCCCUACUGUGUUGGAGUCACUCGCGUGCUUGCUCCUUCCUCUCCCCCCGCCCUGAGAACCCCCGCCCCGAACCCCCUCCAUCCUAGACUCUCCUCUAGGCAUCUCGGUAGCCAUCUGGGCAGCAUCUAAGGAGUGUCAGAGGAACACGGAUGGAUAGACGAAUUGUCUAAAGAAGAGCUUCUGGAACUUUCUACAGGAGAUACCAUUACCUCAGAGAAAACUACUCCUACCCCAGCACCCCCAGAGUUUUAGGAGUUCUAAGAAAUUAGAUGUCUCCAUUUAUUUUGAAUUUCGAGUUGAAUUCUGUAGUCAAAUUCAUAAUAUCAAAUGGGUCUUUUUUUAGUACAAAAACUUUUUUUUCUUUUUUCAGAUAUAACAUUUAAAAUUAAAUUAUCGAGUCAUUUGAUACUUUAAGAAGUGAACCACGUCGGUCCCAUGGCUCCCUAGAGCCAAUUGCCGAGGGCCAGGUUGGGAACUUUCCAGACCUUUGUUCUGCAGGGGGGCCCUCCUGGGCUGCUCCCCACCCAGAGCCUCCGGUCAGAAUUUGUCUGUAGGUCUACUGAGUCCUGUCAUGAGCCCCCCUCCCACCGGACACAUGUGGAAAUAAAAUACAGGCAGAAAGUUUGGGCAGAGUUCUGGGGAGACAGAUGUCGGCUCAGGCUCAAAGAACUUUCCAACAGUGUCCGGUAUGGACGUUGUCUCGCCGGCUGCCUGUGAGAGGUGAGGAGCUGCCCGUCAGGACGGGUGUGUGAGGAGAGGCUGUCCCUGCCUGGCACCAGAGGGUCUGGGGGAGGACAGAGCCGCAGGCCCCCGCCUGGCUGCCCAUUAGGGCCAGGGGGCGAUGAAGACCAGAGCUAAUACAAGGACAGAUUCUUCAGCUUCAUCCUCGCCUCCCAAAUCCGAAGGGAAGCCCAGGAGUCUGGACUCUGACAGGAGUGCAGGCUCUUCCCCAGAGGCAGGGCUGGCCGCCUUCUGCCAUCCUGCCCCUCCCUGUGGCCUUUCGUGAUCCGGUGCUUCUGGAAGUCCAGCCUCUGCAUGCCGGGUGACCUUGGAUGAGGACCAGAAACUUUCCUAUCCUAGGCUCUUCCCCCAAAACAGCUCAGUUUUUUGUAAAAACAAAACCACGACGACUACCGUUUAAUGAGUUCUCACUACGUGCCAGGCACAUACUGGACACGCAAUGUCACCUGUCACAGUUAACAACUUAGCAAGGAGCAGAUCCACGCCCAAGAGAGAAGGAAACCCAGACCUGGGACAAGCAAGCUGCCCGGGAUAACACAGAGGGGAGAUUUGAACUCAGGACUUUUCUCUCGGCACCACGAUGCUUCCUCCUGACUUUCAAACCCCUUCCCGGGGUUGGACGGGGAUGUCCCCAUGCCGGUUUAACCGGAUGGUACGUGCCGACGCCCCCCAGGGCAGGAGGGAAGCUCUCAUGCCGAGGACCCUCUGAGAUCUGAGAUCGUGGGGUUGUGUUACCUGUUCUGACUCAUCCCUUGGGUCUGGGGACAAGGGAGGUACCAAGCCUCCCCCAAGCCUUGCCCCUCCGCGGCAGACCCAGCAGGAAUCAGCCACAGCCUGUCCUGAGGAGCUCACACCCCGGGGGUAUCCCUGACGAAGACUUGGGGGCUCCUGGCAGGUUGCCUGGAAGAAGUGAGCCUGCAUCUUGAAGGAAGGACAGGAGUCACCGGGGCCAUUGGGAAACUGGGGCUGAGGUACGGACCCACAGACUCUGGUCUCAGGAUCCCAGCCAUCUGCGCGGGGCCGUUUGUGGCCCUGAAGGGAGCUGGACCCAGCUGUCCCAAGGGAAGAAGCAGGACCCCACUCAGAGCAGCCAGGAGCUCAAGCAGGUGGGUGACCCCGGGCUGGGGCAAAGACACAUUGUGACAUCGGUGGGUCUCUUCUCCUCCCCAAAAGUACUAGACAUCGUACUUUACAACUGCAGUGGUAUCAAGAUGAAUGGAUUAUUAUAUAGCAAAACAUUUCCUUAGAACCAAAAGUUAAUUUUGGGGGUGCCUGGGUGGCUCAGUCCCCGCCUCACCCCAGUCUCUAUCUCCUUCCCUGUGUGUCCUUCCCUUUCUUCUCCAGCAACAAAGUGGACUGGGCAGCGGCCGUGUGUACCAUGCGGGGGCUGUGACAGGGAGACAGAGAGAAGGCGACCAGAAGUGUCACAGCUGACACUCCUGACUCAGAGGGGCUCACAGUCUCUGGGCUACAGCCAGCCAGCCCUGAGCUCCGGCCAGAGACAUCAGAACGCAGCCAGCCCCAUUCCGGGGCUCCUGGCUCAUGCUCCCCUCGCUGGAAGGGACAGCUCUAGGGUGUCUCACACUGGAGUCUCAGGACAGAAGCUGCAGAGUAUGAGGGUUUAAAAUUCUGUGGGUGUUGGGGCACCUGGGUGGCUCGGUCGGUGAAGCGUCUGCUUUGGGCUCAAGUCAUGAU